UUGAGAAACCACGAGCGCUGGACAACACAGCUCUGUGGCCAGGCCUCAGAUGGCCUCACGGCUCCUGGGGACAUCAUUCACUUCUCAGGGUUGGUGGCUUUCCUCAGGGUCCCGUUUCUUGGCAAGGAGUAAGGACGUUCCUGGGCAAAAGAAAGGUGCUAGGACUCAAAACAGCAUCCUGCUGCACCCAGAGAACUUUGCGUUUAUCCAAAGCUAAUUGGACACCUGGAGAGUACGUGUGAACAGAAUUGCCUUACUAUUUUUAAAAUCGGUCUUCAAACCAAGUCCCAGAAGAGAGAAAGAACGUUGGGAACGACUGCCUGACGCUCAACAUCCACCUUGCCUGAUGAUCAGGGGUAUAUAAUCCUGACUACGCUACUAUCAUCCCGAUGUCCAGGCUGAUCACAGAACAAGGUUAUCCCCCAACACCAUGGCAGCAGGGCCACCGCAUGGAGCUGCAGAAAGGACCAGAGACAAUGUCUCCAUCCCCGUUUGCCUGGGGCUGUAGCUCGACAUCCCUGUCCCAGGAGCUCAUGCACCUGAGGUGUUACCACGGACAGCUCUUAGUCUGGGUCUCAAGUGGGUAGAAAAGAAGCUUCCCAAUGUCAUCGUUGACGCUCAUGGAAUAAGACAAUCUGCUCAAAUAAUUCUUGCAUGUGUCUAUACGGGAUUUCCUUAUUUUUUAACAUGAACAUUUGGAGCCGAGAGCCUGAAGACAAAGACUUGGAUCUUGACUCCCUGCCCCAGCUUCUCGUCCAUGGAACGGUCCAGCCAUCUGUCCUAUUUCCUUGUCACGGCAUCG
rnacentral:lncRNA from 1 species